rnacentral:rRNA from 1 species
UACAGAGGGUGCAAGCGUUAAUCGGAGUUACUGGGCGUAAAGGGCGCGUAGGCGGAUGUUUAAGUCGAUUGUGAAAUCCCUGGGCUUAACCUAGGAAUUGCAUUCGAUACUGGAUAUCUAGAGUAUGGUAGAGGCAAGUGGAAUUCCCGGUGUAGCAGUGAAAUGCGUAGAUAUCGGGAGGAACACCAAGGCGAAGGCAGCUUGCUGGGCCAAUACUGACGCUGAGGCGCGAAAGCGUGGGGAGC